GGAGUUGUGCCUGAAGUAAAGGGCCACUUUGAUAGAGUGACUAAUGGAGGUUAAAAUCCUCCCAGCUCCU
rnacentral:tRNA from 1 species